AUACGUAGGUGACAAGCGUUAUCCGGAUUUACUGGGUGUAAAGGGAGCGUAGACGGUUUGGCAAGUCUGAUGUGAAAGCCCGGGGCUCAACCGCGGGACUGCAUUGGAAACUGUCAGCCUUGAGUGCAGGAGAGGCAAGUGGAAUUCCUAGUGUAGCGGUGAAAUGCGUAGAUAUUAGGAGGAACACCGGUGGCGAAGGCGGCUUACUGGACUGUAACAGACGUUGAGGCUCGAAAGCGUGGGGAGCAAACUGGAUUAGAUUCCCUAGUAGUCCACGCUGUAAACGAUGACAGCUAAAUAUUGCCGCGAGGCAGUGUUGAAGCUAACGCAUUAAGUUGUCCGCCUGGGGAGUACGGUCGCAAGGCUGAAACUCGAAUGAUUUGACGAGG
rnacentral:rRNA from 1 species